rnacentral:rRNA from 1 species
GAAUCUUAGACAAUGGGCGCAAGCCUGAUCUAGCCAUGCCGCGUGAGCGAUGAAGGCCUUAGGGUUGUAAAGCUCUUUCACCGGUGAAGAUAAUGACGGUAGCCGGAGAAGAAGCCCCGGCUAACUCCGUGCCAGCAGCCGCGGUAAUACGGAGGGGGCUAGCGUUGUUCGGAAUUACUGGGCGUAAAGCGCACGUAGGCGGAUUUGUUAGUCAGGGGUGAAAUCCCGGGGCUUAACCUCGGAACUGCCUUUGAUACUGCAAGUCUCGAGUCCGGAAGAGGUGAGUGGAAUUCCUAGUGUAGAGGUGAAAUUCGUAGAUAUUAGGAAGAACACCAGUGGCGAAGGCGGCUCACUGGUCCGGUACUGACGCUGAGGUGCGAAAGCGUGGGGAGCAAACAGG